rnacentral:rRNA from 1 species
AUUGAACGCUGGCGGCAUGCUUUACACAUGCAAGUCGAACGGCAGCGCGGGCUUCGGCCUGGCGGCGAGUGGCGAACGGGUGAGUAAUGCAUCGGAACGUGCCCAGUAGUGGGGGAUAGCCCGGCGAAAGCCGGAUUAAUACCGCAUACGACCUGAGGGUGAAAGCGGGGGACCGAAAGGCCUCGCGCUAUUGGAGCGGCCGAUGUCGGAUUAGCUAGUUGGUGGGGUAAAGGCUUACCAAGGCGACGAUCCGUAGCUGGUCUGAGAGGACGACCAGCCACACUGGGACUGAGACACGGCCAGACUCCUACGGGAGGCAGCAGUGGGGAAUUUUGGACAAUGGGGGCAACCCUGAUCCAGCCAUGCCGCGUGCGGGAAGAAGGCCUUCGGGUUGUAAACCGCUUUUGUUCGGGAAGAAAUCCUCUGGGCUAAUACCCCGGGGGGAUGACGGUACCGGAAGAAUAAGCACCGGCUAACUACGUG